UACGGAGGAUCCGAGCGUUAUCCGGAUUUAUUGGGUUUAAAGGGUGCGCAGGCGGGAGAUUAAGUCGGCGGUGAAAUUUUGCAGCUCAACUGUAAAAGUGCCUUCGAUACUGGCUUCCUUGAGUGUGGAUGAAGUAGGCGGAAUUUGUGGUGUAGCGGUGAAAUGCUUAGAUAUCACGAGGAACUCCGAUUGCGCAGGCAGCUUACUAAACCACUACUGACUCUCAUGCACGAAGGCGUGGGGAUCAAACAGGAUUAGAUA
rnacentral:rRNA from 1 species